UACGAAGGGCGCAAGCGUUGUCCGGAAUUAUUGGGCGUAAAGAGCUCGUAGGCGGCUUGUCGCGUCGGAUGUGAAAGCUCGGGGCUUAACCCCGGGUCUGCAUUCGAUACGGGCAGGCUAGAGUGUGGUAGGGGAGAUCGGAAUUCCUGGUGUAGCGGUGAAAUGCGCAGAUAUCAGGAGGAACACCGGUGGCGAAGGCGGAUCUCUGGGCCAUUACUGACGCUGAGGAGCGAAAGCGUGGGGAGCGAACAGG
rnacentral:rRNA from 1 species